rnacentral:rRNA from 1 species
UACGUAGGGACCGAGGCGUUGUCCGGAUUCAUUGGCGUAAAGAGCGCGCAGGCGGUCGUGCAAGUCGCGUGUGGAAAGCCCCCGGCUCAACUGGGGAGGGUCACGCGAUACUGUUCGACUCGAAGGCAGGAGAGGGAAGCGGAAUUCCCGGUGUAGUGGUGAAAUGCGUAGAUAUCGGGAGGAACACCAGUGGCGAAGGCGGCUUCCUGGCCUGUUCUUGACGCUGAGG